rnacentral:rRNA from 1 species
UACGAAGGGGGCUAGCGUUGCUCGGAUUGACUGGGCGUAAAGGGCGCGUAGGCGGUUUGUACAGUCAGACGUGAAAUCCCCGAGCUUAACUCGGGAACUGCCAUUGAUACUAUAUAUCUUGAAUAUUCUGGAGGUAUGCGGAAUAUGUCAUGUAGCGGUGAAAUGCUUAGAGAUGACAUAGAACACCUAUUGCGAAGGCAGCAUACUACGGAAAGAUUGACGCUGAGGCACGAAAGUGUGGGGAUCAAACAGG